rnacentral:rRNA from 1 species
UACGUAGGUGGCAAGCGUUGUCCGGAUUUACUGGGCGUAAAGAGCGCGCAGGCGGUCGUUCAAGUCGCGUGUGAAAGCCCCCGGCUCAACUGGGGAGGGUCACGCGAUACUGAUCGACUCGAAGGCAGGAGAGGGUAGUGGAAUUCCCGGUGUAGUGGUGAAAUGCGUAGAGAUCCGGAGGAACACCAGAGGCGAAGGCGGCCUACUGGGCUGCACCUGACGCUGAGCCGCGAAAGCCAGGGGAGCGAACGGG